UGUGGAAGGCUUGCUCCCGGAUGUUAGCGGCGGACGGGUGAGUAACACGUGGGUAACCUGCCUGUAAGACUGGGAUAACUCCGGGAAACCGGAGCUAAUACCGGAUAGUUCCUUGAACCGCAGGUUCAAGGAUGAAAGACGGUUUCGGCUGUCACUUACAGAUGGACCCGCGGCGCAUUAGCUAGUUGGUGGGGUAAUGGCUCACCAAGGCGACGAUGCGUAGCCGACCUGAGAGGGUGAUCGGCCACACUGGGACUGAGACACGGCCCAGACUCCUACGGGAGGCAGCAGUAGGGAAUCUUCCGCAAUGGACGAAAGUCUGACGGAGCAACGCCGCGUGAGUGAUGAAGGUUUUCGGAUCGUAAAGCUCUGUUGUUAGGGAAGAACAAGUGCGAGAGUAACUGCUCGCACCUUGACGGUACCUAACCAGAAAGCCACGGCUAACUACGUGCCAGCAGCCGCGGUAAUACGUAGGUGGCAAGCGUUGUCCGGAAUUAUUGGGCGUAAAGGGCUCGCAGGCGGUUUCUUAAGUCUGAUGUGAAAGCCCCCGGCUCAACCGGGGAGGGUCAUUGGAAACUGGGAAACUUGAGUGCAGAAGAGGAGAGUGGAAUUCCACGUGUAGCGGUGAAAUGCGUAGAGAUGUGGAGGAACACCAGUGGCGAAGGCGACUCUCUGGUCUGUAACUGACGCUGAGGAGCGAAAGCGUGGGGAGCGAACAGGAUUAGAUACCCUGGUAGUCCACGCCGUAAACGAUGAGUGCUAAGUGUUAGGGGGUUUCCGCCCCUUAGUGCUGCAGCUAACGGCAUUAAGCACUCCGCCUGGGGAGUACGGUCGCAAGACUGAAACUCAAGGAUUUGACGGGGGCCCGCACAAGCGGUGGAGCAUGUGGUUUAAUUCGAAGCAACGCGAAGACCUUUACCAGGUCUUGACAUCCUCUGACACCCUAGAGAUAGGGCUUCCUUCCGGGACAGAGUGACAGGUGGUGCAUGGUUGUCGUCAGCCUCUGGUCGUGAAAUGUUGGGUUAGUCCGCACGAGCCCA
rnacentral:rRNA from 1 species